AGCAGUAGCCGCGGUAAUACAGAGGGUGCGAGCGUUAAUCGGAUUUACUGGGCGUAAAGCGUGCGUAGGCGGCUUCUUAAGUCGGAUGUGAAAUCCCUGAGCUUAACUUAGGAAUUGCAUUCGAUACUGGGAAGCUAGAGUAUGGGAGAGGAUGGUAGAAUUCCAGGUGUAGCGGUGAAAUGCGUAGAGAUCUGGAGGAAUACCGAUGGCGAAGGCAGCCAUCUGGCCUAAUACUGACGCUGAGGUACGAAAGCAUGGGGAGCAAACAGGAUUAGAUACCCGAGUAGUCCCUGUCUCUUAUAA
rnacentral:rRNA from 1 species